rnacentral:rRNA from 1 species
GACGAACGCUGGCGGCAUGCCUAAUACAUGCAAGUCGAACGCUGAAGCACUCUGCUUGCAGAGUGCGGAUGAGUGGCGAACGGGUGAGUAACACGUGGGAAAUCUGCCUAUAAGAGGGGGAUAACAUUCGGAAACGGAUGCUAAUACCGCAUAUAUUCUUGGACCGCCUGGUCCUUGAAAGAAAGACGGCUUUGCUGUCGCUUAUAGAUGAUCCCGCGGCGUAUUAGUUAGUUGGUGGGGUAAAGGCCUACCAAGACAAUGAUACGUAGCCGACCUGAGAGGGUGAUCGGGCGCACUGGGACUGAGACACGGCCCAGACUCCUACGGGAGGCAGCAGUAGGGAAUCUUCCACAAUGGGCGAAAGCCUGAUGGAGCAAUGCCGCGUGAAUGAAGAAGGUCUUCGGAUCGUAAAGUUCUGUUAUUAGAGAAGAACAAGUCAAGGAGUAACUGUCUUGACUUUGACGGUACCUAACCAGAAAGUCACGGCUAACUACGUG